CCUGCGCUAAGGAUUGCAGUGAAAAUCCUUUUUUUGCCAAAAAAAGAUUGCAACAUAAAGCCUGACCUUAC
rnacentral:sRNA from 1 species